rfam:Gossypium arboreum cultivar AKA8401 contig_11057_5, whole genome shotgun sequence.
GUCGUUGUAGUAUAGUGGCGAGUAUUCCCGCCUGUCACGAGGGUGACCCGGGUUCGAUCCCAGGCAACGGCG